UACGUAGGCGGCUUGAUAAGUCAGAUGUGAAAUCCCGGGCUUAACCUGGGAACUGCAUUUGAAACUGUCUGGCUAGAGUGAGUGAGAGGUUAGUGGAAUUCAAGGCGUAGCGGUGAAAUGCGUAGAGGUCUUGAGGAACAUCAGUGGCGAAGGCGACUAACUGGCACUACACUGACGCUGAGGUACAAGCGUGGGAGCGAACA
rnacentral:rRNA from 1 species